GAGGUGGCAGUGGGGACAGCGGUGACUGAGAAGUAAUAAUGCAGGCAUUUCUAAAAGGCACAUCUCUCAGUACUAAACCGCCAGUGACCAAGGAUCAUUGAGGAGUAGCUGCCACUGCAGGAAGCAGUGGAGAGAACAAGAAAGCCAAGCCUGUUCCCUGGGUGGAAAAAUAUCGCCCAAAAUCUGUGGAUGAAGUUGCUUUUCAGGAUGAAGUGGUUGCAGUGCUCAAAAAGUCUUCAGAAGGAGCUGAUCUCUCUAAUCUCUUGUGUUACAGGCCACCUGGAACUGGAAAAACAUCUACUAUUUUAGCAGCUGCUAGAGAACCUUUUGGGCCUGAACUUUUUCGAUUAAGAGUUCUUGAGUUAAAUGCAUCUGAUGAACGUUGAAUACAAGUAAUUCGAGAGAAAGUGAAAAAUUUUGUUCAAUUAACUGUGUCAGGAAGUUGUUCAGAUGGGAAGCCGUGUCCUCCUUUUAAGAUUGUGAUUUUAGAUGAAGCAGAUUCUAUGACCUCAGCUGCUCAACCGGCUUUAAGAUGUACCAUGGAGAAAGAGUCUAAAACCACCCGAUUCUGUCUCAUUUGUAACUAUGUCAGUCGAAUAAUUGAACCCCUGACCUCUAGAUGUUCAAAAUUCCACUUUAAGCCUCUGUCAGAUAAAAUUCAACAGCAAUGAUUACUAAACAUUGCUGAGAAAGAGAGUGUCAAAAUUAGCAGUGAGGGAAUAGCUUAUCUUGUUAAAGUGUCAGAAAGAGACUUAAGAAAAGCCAUUACAUUUCUUCAGAGUGCUACUCGAUUAACAGGGGGAAAAGAGAUCAGGGGGAAAAGAGAUCACGGAGAAAGUGAUUACAGACAUUGCUGGGGUAAUACCAUCUGAGACAAUUGAUGGAGUAUUUGCUGCAUGUCAGAGUGGCUCCUUUGACAAACUAGAAGCUGUGGUAAAGGACUUAAUAGAUGAGGGUCAUGCAGCAACUCAGCUCGUAAAUCAGCUUCAUGAUGUGGUUGUAGAAAAUGAUAUCCUUGCUGAUAAACAGAAGUCCGUCAUUACAGAAAAACUUGCUGAAAUUGUUAAGUGCUUAGCGGAUGGUGCUGAUGAACAUCUACAAUUAAUCAGUCUUUGUGCAACUGUGAUGCAGCAGUUAACUCAGAAUUGUUAGAAUACUUUCAAUUUCUUUGUAUAAGUAUGGGGUUAUGAGAAAAAUAAAAUGACCAAA